CGCCUUCAAAGAGCCCUUGUCUCCAUCUGUGAGCUGAAGUGCUAUAUUGAGAGAAGAAAUGACAGGUGAUCCUUAAAAGAAAAUAUGUAAAGUCUCCAUGGUGCAUAGACAUGAGGACCUUCCAAAGAUCACAGCCACUGGUAGUUUCCUGUAGAAGUGCUCUGAUAUGAUGUUCUUGCUGAGGAGGACAUUAUAAGAACUCUCUCUUCUUUCUCCCAUAUGAAUUUGAUGAAGAACACACAUCUACAAAAUUAUGAAGACACUCAGAAUUCAGAACCCCCAAGAA
rnacentral:lncRNA from 1 species